rnacentral:rRNA from 1 species
AGUGAACGCUGGCGGUAGGCCUAACACAUGCAAGUCGAACGGCAGCACAGUAAGAGCUUGCUCUUACGGGUGGCGAGUGGCGGACGGGUGAGGAAUACAUCGGAAUCUACUUUUUCGUGGGGGAUAACGUAGGGAAACUUACGCUAAUACCGCAUACGACCUACGGGUGAAAGCAGGGGAUCUUCGGACCUUGCGCGAUUGAAUGAGCCGAUGUCGGAUUAGCUAGUUGGCGGGGUAAAGGCCCACCAAGGCGACGAUCCGUAGCUGGUCUGAGAGGAUGAUCAGCCACACUGGAACUGGGACACGGUCCAGACUCCUAAGGGAGGCAGCAGUGGGGAAUAUUGGACAAUGGGCGCAAGCCUGAUACAGCCAUACCGAGUGGGUGAAGAAGGCCUUCGGGUUGUAAAGCCCUUUUGUUGGGAAAGAAAAGCAGCAGGUUAAUACCCCGCUGUUCUGACGGUACCCAAAGAAUAAGCACCGGCUAACUUCGUG